UAGAGUUUGAUCAUGGCUCAGAAUGAGCGCUGGCGGCGUGCUUAACACAUGCAAGUCGAUCGAGAAAGGGAUUGCUUGCAAUCCUGAGUAGAGUGGCGCACGGGUGAGUAGCGCGGGGGAUAAUCUACCUUCGAGCCUGGAAUAACUAUUCGAAAGGAUAGCUAAUACCGGAUGAAGUUUGUUAGCUUGAGUUAAUAAAUGAAAGAUUGCCUCUUCUUGAAAGCAAUUGUUUGGAGAUGAGUCUGCGGACCAUUAGUUUGUUGGUGGGGUAAUGGCCUACCAAGACUGCGAUGGUUAGCUGGUCUGAGAGGAUGAUCAGUCACACUGGAACUGGAACACGGUCCAGACUCCUACGGGAGGCAGCAGUGAGGAAUUUUUCUC
rnacentral:rRNA from 1 species